GGAGGGGGAAGGUUGCAACUCUUCUCAGUGGUUGUCAAUCUGUUUGGUCUGAGGAAAAAGUACAGAAAAAGUUGACAUCACUGAGAUACACAAGACCUUCAAGACAGCUUUAUUUCAGGGAACUGAAAGGACUGAAAGUCACUGACUGACUAAGUGAACUGUCCUGAGGUAAAAGCUGAGAACAACCUGACAGACCAACGAAACAAAGAAAAAUUCUUGGAUUUGCUGUGGUAAAUGUUGGAGCACCUCACAGAUGCAGUCUGCAACCUGCAGCAUCACUCUGCUGAAUGAGUAGCAGUCAAAAUUUAAAGGUCUCCAAGGUUUAUGUACCUGAACUCCAGAAGGUGACCAUGGCAGCUUUCAGUGUGCUGGAGGACUUAGGGAAAAGGAAACGGGUUUUAGAUCAGAAAGUUCUUGAAUUUGCAACACUCCCUGUAAAGGGAGUGCAACAUUCCCUGUAAAGAAUGUUCUGAACCAUCAAGCUGUAGAUAAAAACUGAACUAGUUUCCAUGUCACUAUAAAGCAAGGACUCUGACUUGGAUGUUUUUAGAUUUCUUUUAGA